rnacentral:rRNA from 1 species
AUGGGUUCCAUCAAGCGCAACUACAGCGGGUGGGCAGUCCUGCCUGUCGUCGCCGGGAUUCUUCUCCUCGCAGCUGCUGUCAUGGCGGAGGGGCGGUCGACGAGCUGCAUCGCCCAAUGCCCAAACCGGAAGGGCUUAACGGCCUGCCUCUACCGCUGCUGGUUUGGCCGCACGCCUCUGCAUCUUGAUCUUGUCGACCAGGAGUCAACACAAGAAGUUGUCCUCUUGACGGCAUCAGAGGCGGAGUGCGCGGUCUACUGCAAAACGCAUGCCCGAGAUUUGCCCCGCAAGUACAGCGCAUGCAUGGUCAUGUGCCAAUCAAGACCAGAUGCCGCGAACGACAAGAUCCUCCACAUCAACGACAGGAAAGAGGAGGAGAAGCUGCAAGAGGACGUCGAAGCUCAGCUUAGGACCAGCGCCUGCGACGAGUGCGGAAAUACGACAGAAUUCAUGGAGUACAUGAGCUGUCUAAUCCGCAAUAAUUGUGAUUAA